rfam:TPA: Bos taurus chromosome 21, whole genome shotgun sequence.
UCCCUGAUGGCUCAGAUGGUAAAGAAUCUGCCUGCAAUGCAGGAGACCUGGGUUCGAUCCCUGGGUUGGGAA